rnacentral:rRNA from 1 species
UACAGAGGUCCCGAGCGUUGUUCGGAUUCAUUGGGCGUAAAGGGUGCGUAGGCGGCGGGGUAAGUUUGAUGUGAAAUCCCGGGGCUCAACCUUGGAAUUGCAUUGAAUAAUACCUUGCUAGAGUACCGGAGAGGAAACUGGAAUUUACGGUGUAGCAGUGAAAUGCGUAGAGAUCGUAAGGAAGACCAGUGGCGAAGGCGAGUUUCUGGACGGUAACUGACGCUGAGGCACGAAGGCCAGGGGAGCAAACGGGG